CUCUCUCUCUCUCUCUCUCACUCAUACACUCACACACACAACGGCGGAACUAGGGGGGCCCCCAGCCAAAAAAAACUUUUGAGGAGCGUACUACAUUUGUUUAUAUGUAGAUUCAUGCUGCCCCCCUAACUGGACUAAUGCUACAGAAUUAGUCCAAUCCAAAUUUUUUCUUUUCUUAUAUUUUAGUCCAAUUGCUGUUUU
rnacentral:misc_RNA from 1 species